GGUAAUAGGGCGAGUGUUGUGGAGGUGGAGGAUAAGCUGAUGGUGGUGGUGGAGGAUAGGCAGAUGGUGGUGGAGGAUAGGCAGACGGUGGCGGAGGAUAGGCAGAUGGUGGUGGAGGAUAGGCAGAUGGUGGUGGAGGGUAAGCAGAAGUUUGAGGAGGAUAAGCAGAAGUUUGAGGAGGAUAAGCAGAUGGAUAUGUUGAUGGUGGGUAUCCUGAAGGUGGGUAAGAAGGAUAAUGGGGUGGGGCUGGGUAGGAUGUAGGUGUAGGUGCAUAAGGAGCAGAAGCUGCUGGUGGGGGCACAGAGUAUAAAGGUGGUUCAGCAGGGUGUGAAAUAUAAGAUGGGGCUGACGGAGCUGAAGAUUUUCCCGGUUUCUGCAUUGAUGUAAAAUAGAUUUGCUGUUAAUUAAAACCCUUUAAAUAUACACACACACACACACACACACACGUAUAAGAUCCCUCAAUAUAUAGUACUACU
rnacentral:lncRNA from 1 species